rnacentral:tRNA from 1 species
GCCCACGUAGCUCAGUGGUAGAGCAGCGCAUUCGUAACGCGCAGGUCGUCGGUUCAAGCCCGACCGUGGGCUCAA